rnacentral:rRNA from 1 species
GCGCAAUGGGGGAAACCCUGACGCAGCAAUGCCGCGUGUGGGAUGAAGGCCUUCGGGUUGUAAACCACUUUUUUCGGGGACGAUAAUGACGGUACCCGAAGAAUAAGCCACGGCUAACUACGUGCCAGCAGCCGCGGUAAUACUUAGGUGGCAAGCGUUGUCCGGAUUUACUGGGCGUAAAGCGCGCGCAGGCGGUGAAUGAAGUCGAAAGUGAAAGCCCCGGGCUCAACUCGGGAACUGCUUUCGAAACCAGUUCACUUGAAGGCGGAAGAGGGAAGUGGAAUUCCGAGUGUAGUGGUGGAAUGCGUAGAUAUUCGGAAGAACACCAGUGGCGAAGGCGACUUCCUGGUCCGAUCCUGACGCUGAGGCUGCGAAAGCUAGGGGAGCAAACGGGAUUAGAUACCCGUGUAGUCCG